UAUAGCAGCCAUAUAACCCCACAACUCAACUGAAAACCCAGUGAAGUUAAGCAGAUUUGAGCCUGGUCAGUACCUGGAUGAGAGACCUCUUAGGAAAAACUAAGGUUGCUGCCGAAA
rnacentral:rRNA from 1 species